AGUAAAAGUCGUAACAAGGUUUCCGUAGGUGAACCUGCGGAAGGAUCAUUAGCGAAGUCAAGUCCGGAUCUGUAGGGAUUGCAGCUGGCCUAACGGCAUGUGCUCGUCCCUUGGGUCUGUGACCUUCACUACCACACCCCACUGUGAACCAAGCGGGAGGUCGAAAGGCCUCUUGCAUCUUAUACAAACCCCAAUCGCAUGUAUUAGAAUGUCAUAGCGUUAACUCGCAACUAUACAACUUUCAACAACGGAUCUCUUGGCUCUCGCAUCGAUGAAGAACGCAGCGAAAUGCGAUAAGUAAUGUGAAUUGCAGAAUUCAGUGAAUCGUCGAAUCUUUGAACGCACCUUGCACCCCUUGGUAUUCCGAGGGGUACGCCUGUUUGAGUGUCGUGAGCUCCUCCAACUCCGGUUUUCCGGAGUAUGGGAUUUGGGUGUUGCUGGUCCCUGGUAGACCGGCUCGCCUUGAAUGCAUUAGCGAAGCCCUUGCGGCCUUGGCAGUGAUAAUUAUCCGCGCCUCGGCUUAACGACUUUGAAGGGAAAUUGCUUACAGCCGUCCUUCGGGACAAUCACUACGACUUGAC
rnacentral:rRNA from 1 species